rnacentral:lncRNA from 1 species
UUUCCUAAGUAAAAGACCUGGAAACUUUUGUUUAAAAUUAGCAUAGAUGUGCCUACAACAAUAUCUCUUCAAAGCUUGCGGGAACACUCUCUCUAAUGCAUUCAAUAUUCCUUUCUGUCUAUCACUCAUAAAACAUAAGCCUUCUCCAUCAUUGCAGCCUAUUUGCUCAUACAAUCUCUCCAUAAAGUACACCCAAGACUCGGUAUUCUCAUUUUCUACUACACAAACAGCCAAAGG